UUGAACGCUGGCGGCCGGCCUAACACCUGCAAGUCGCACGGUAACAGGAAGCAGCUUGCUGCUUUGCUGACGAGUGGCGGACGGGUGAGUAAUGUCUGGGAAACUGCCCGAUGGAGGGGGAUAACUACUGGAAACGGUAGCUAAUACCGCAUAACGUCGCAAGACCAAAGAGGGGGACCUUAGGGCCUCUUGCCAUCGGAUGUGCCCAGAUGGGAUUAGCUAGUAGGUGGGGUAACGGCUCACCUAGGCGACGAUCCCUAGCUGGUCUGAGAGGAUGACCAGCCACACUGGAACUGAGACACGGUCCAGACUCCUACGGGAGGCAGCAGUGGGGAAUAUUGCACAAUGGGCGCAAGCCUGAUGCAGCCAUGCCGCGUGUAUGAAGAAGGCCUUCGGGUUGUAAAGUACUUUCAGCGGGGAGGAAGGGAGUAAAGUUAAUACCUUUGCUCAUUGACGUUACCCGCAGAAGAAGCACCGGCUAACUCCGUG
rnacentral:rRNA from 1 species